rnacentral:rRNA from 1 species
AUUGAACGCUGGCGGCAGGCCUAACACAUGCACGUCGAACGAGUGGCGGACGGGUGAGUAAUGUCUGGGAAAAUGCCUGAUGGAGGGGGAUAACUACUGGAAACGGUAGCUAAUACCGCAUACCAUCGGAUGUGCCCAGAUGGGAUUAGCUAGUAGGUGGGGUAACGGCUCACCUAGGCGACGAUCCAUAGCUGGUCUGAGAGGAGGACCAGCAACACUGGAACUGAGACACGGUCCAGCCGCCUACGCGAGGCAGCAGUGGGGCAUAUUGCACAAUGGGCGCAAGCCUGAUGCCGCCAUGCCGCGGGUAUGAAGAAGGCCUUCGGGUUGUAAAGUACUUUCAGCGGGGAGGCGUUACCCGCAGAAGAAGCACCGGCUAACUCCGUGCCAGCAGCCGCGGUAAUUC